rnacentral:rRNA from 1 species
CCUACGGGGGGCAGCAGUGGGGAAUAUUGCACAAUGGUGGGAACCCUGAUGCAGCGACGCCGCGUGAGUGAGGAAGUAAUUCGUUAUGUAAAGCUCUAUCAGCAGGGAAGAAAAUGACGGUACCUGAGUCAGAAGCCCCGGCUAACUACGUGCCGGCAGCCGCAGUAAUACGUAGGGGGCAAGCGUUAUCCGGAUUUACUGGGUGUAAAGGGAGCGUAGACGGCAGUGCAAGUCUGGAGUGAAAGGCGGGGGCUCAACCCCCGGACUGCUCUGGAAACUGUACGGCUGGAGUGCAGGAGAGGUAAGUGGAAUGCCCAGUGUAGCGGUGAAAUGCGUAGAUAUUAGGAGGAACACCAGUGGCGAAGGCGGCUUACUGGACUGUAACUGACGUUGAGGCUCGAAAGCGUGGGGAGCAAACAGGAUUAGAUACCCUAGUAGUC